rnacentral:rRNA from 1 species
AUGUUCCUUCCUCAAAUACCUCUCUGCUCAUCUGAUGAUGAUACAUUCCCUUUCAAGUUUAGGAGGAAGCAGUUCCCUAUUAGUCUCAACUUUGCCAUGACAAUCAACAAGGUGCAAGGGCAGAUCAUCCUGAUUGCCGAGGUGUACCAACCGGACCCGAUUUUCUCUCACGGUCAGCUCUACGUCGCAUUGUCUAGAGCCACCGCAAAGAGGAACAUUAAGAUUCUCGCCAUCAAGGACAACGACAAUGGUAAGGGCAAGGGCAAGGACAAGGACGAAAGCAAGAAUUCAAAGAAGCGAAAAAGAUCUGAGCCCUUAUUAACGACCAUGAAGAACAUAUUAUACAAGGAAGACCUUAGCACAUGA